rnacentral:rRNA from 1 species
UACGUAGGGGGCAAGCGUUGUCCGGAUUUAUUGGGCGUAAAGAGCGUGUAGGCGGCUAGGUAGGUCCGUUGUGAAAACUCGAGGCUCAACCUCGAGACGCCGAUGGAAACCAUCUAGCUAGAGUCCGGAAGAGGAGAGUGGAAUUCCUGGUGUAGCGGUGAAAUGCGCAGAUAUCAGGAGGAACACCGGUGGCGAAGGCGGGUCUCUGGGCCGUAACUGACGCUGAGGAGCGAAAGCGUGGGGAGCGAACAGG